GAAACUGCCUGAUGGAGGGGGAUAACUACUGGAAACGGUAGCUAAUACCGCAUAACGUCGCAAGACCAAAGUGGGGGACCUUCGGGCCUCAUGCCAUCAGAUGUGCCCAGAUGGGAUUAGCUAGUAGGUGGGGUAACGGCUCACCUAGGCGACGAUCCCUAGCUGGUCUGAGAGGAUGACCAGCCACACUGGAACUGAGACACGGUCCAGACUCCUACGGGAGGCAGCAGUGGGGAAUAUUGCACAAUGGGCGCAAGCCUGAUGCAGCCAUGCCGCGUGUGUGAAGAAGGCCUUCGGGUUGUAAAGCACUUUCAGCGGGGAGGAAGGCGUUAAGGUUAAUAACCUUGUCGAUUGACGUUACCCGCAGAAGAAGCACCGGCUAACUCCGUGCCAGCAGCCGCGG
rnacentral:rRNA from 1 species